rfam:Aedes aegypti strain Liverpool supercont1.19 genomic scaffold, whole genome shotgun sequence.
CAAUCGGCCCUUUUCAGGGCCAACAAAUGUGUUAAUUGUGUAAUAU